rnacentral:pre_miRNA from 1 species
UUUCUACUCCCUCCGUCCGAAAAUACUUGUCAUCAAAAUGCAUAAAAAGAGAUGUAUCUAAAACUAAAAUACGUCUAGAUAUAUUUCCUUUUAUCCAUUUUGAUGACAAGUAUUUCCAGACAGAGGGAGUAUUUG